rnacentral:rRNA from 1 species
GCUGCAGUAACGAAUCUUCCGCAAUGCACGAAAGUGUGACGGAGCGACGCCGCGUGUAGGACGAAGCCCUUCGGGGUGUAAACUACUGUCAGGGGAAAGAAAGUUCUGAUCUACCCCAGAGGAAGGGACGGCUAACUCUGUGCCAGCAGCCGCGGUAAGACAGAGGUCCCGAGCGUUAGGCGGAAUCACUGGGCUUAAAGCGUGUGUAGGCGGAUGCCUAAGUACCUUGUGAAAUCCCACGGCUCACCCGUGGAACUGCUCGGUAUACUGGGUGUCUUGAGCCACUUAGGGGCUACCGGAACAAAUGGUGGAGCGGUGAAAUGCGUAGAUAUCAUUUGGAACGCCAAUGGUGAAAACAGGUAGCUGGGAGUGUGCUGACGCUGAGACACGAAAGCCAGGGGAGCAAACGGGAUUAGAUAC